ACUCUAUCUGGAAGAGGACACCAAAAACUAGUAAUAUCGGCUGUCCGUGAAGAGAGAGGUGGAGUUGAAGGAAGAACUUGCUGUAUACUUUAUGAAUAUUUGGAGAAUUGAACCAUGUGGAUGGGUGACCUACUCAUAGCAUAAGUAGGUCCUGGAAGAAGUGGCUGAUUCUAGGUCUGGGGCAUGGGGAAAAUGUCCCAAGUGAGAUCUGCUACCAUUGUUCCUGCUCAACCAAAGCCAUUUACUUCAUCAGAUACUAUGCUGAGCCCAGAAAACCCCUCAUCAAUGAUAAUAUUCGUGUAAAUAAUAUAAAUCAGACAAGCUCAAAAGCUAUCCCAAAGGAAUGACAAAAUACUUUGCUGAUGCCUUCCCAUUCAGCAGCCAACGGCAGACGUCUGUCAGAUGUGGAAAGCGGACGUGACAGGACAGAACCACAUACCUGGAAG